CCGAGGCCUAGCCACCUGCCUCCCUUGCAUCACGUCUUUCCUUCUCCCUUCUUUUCCUCUCGGGUAGUAUUGUCUGUCUUCUUGUUCAUCUGAAGGUGAAAGCUGGAAGACGUGUAUACUUCACAAACAUUUUCAAUUUUGUUUCGCUAUCUACCUCUAGAUCAUGUCUAACCAAGCCGAAUUCUCUAAUUCAUAAGGGUUCUUCAUUACCCAGAUCUGCAUUUGCUUAGCUAUUCCCUUCAUAUUCCUCAAUUUCGAUUUCUAUUUUUUUCUUCAAGAUCUAUGAAUAAAUUUCCUAACCUUUUGACCUUUGAUGAUUUAUUUGUUAAUGGGUACUCGGUUCUGUACUGAGUGUUACGAAGAGGGAUUUCAGUACCGUGAUUUUGGAGUUUGAAAGCGUAUGUCUGUUGUCGAACUCACUGCAUGUCCCCCAAUCUUUGUGGCUACCUCCAUGAUGUGUGCCACCAGUGAAAAUAGCGUUCCUUGGGUUUCCUUAUCGGAAAUUCCAAAACAGCAUGGAAUAAAAUUUUUUUGUUUUUUCUGACUGGAUUUCUCGAUGAAUCCCUGCAAAAUCAUUGCUAUUAUCCCGGUUCUGAGAACAAAAGUUUGGGUCUUACAGGGCAACGUCCUCCUCUACAUUCUAAGAGAAAGUCCCAGUAAAUAGGUUGACAAUAAAAAUAUACAGUGCAAGCCACCAAGAAAGCAAACAAAUGUUAGUAUCACUUGUGCCAUCACACUCCAUAGCCUAAAUUUACUUUGUAUGUAAUGGGCUGAGCUCCCAAUGUGGAGAUCUAAUUUACAUUUUUUAUUUUCAUGACAUACUCGACUGUCCUAUGUUCUUUUUCCCUUCUUUUUUUUCAAUCCAUUCCAAUUCUCGUCUCUAUUAUGCUGGCACCUAAAUGUGUUCUAGUAUUUAAUAUCCGGAAAUUUUAAUUUGGCUUAAUGUAUCAAUCAUUAAAAUUAGCUUUCUAUUUCUUGCAUAUGAUUAUGUUAUUUUUCAUACCACCGUAGCUUCAUCUGUCUAAAACCCUCUGGGUAUGCGUGGUUCUGUUUGAUGUCACAGGUUAUAAGCUAAAUCCGCUGAGCAUGAAGUGGGCUGAGCUACUCUUGUAAAGCUCAAAUUUGCAUCUUUAUCCUGGUGCCUCUCUCUCAAUCUCUUUCUAUUGUUGCUUUUUUCUUUUCCCCUUUGCAAAUCCAUCUUAAUUUUCUAGACACUAGUGAUUGAUAUAUUAAUUAAUACAGAUUAUAUCCAUGUAUAAAUGCAUGAACAAAGACAUGAUUCCAAUGCAUAUAGAAUUUCUAGAGUUAGAUUAAUCUUCUAGGCAAACAAAAUUGGCCUUAAAAUUUUUCUCAGUAUGCAUCCCAAUAUUGAACAUUGUAAUCACCAUGCCAAGAAGAGCAUUUAAAUUUAUGUAUUUCACUUUUUUAGCUAAUAGAAAAUGAGUUAUAUUUUGAGAAUGAAAUAUUCAUUGGUAAAAACACUGUGAUUGAAUACACUGAAGCUUUAAAAGAAAAAAAAAGGUACAAAUUAUAAAUUUAUUUAAAAGACAAUAAGAACAGCUUUACAUCAAUCCAUUAAUUGAAGACAGAAGCAAACUAAAGGAAAGAGAACAACAAGAGAAUAAUGGUUGCAGAACCCGUAGAAGAAAAGGGAGAACAAAGACAUUAAAUGAAAAGCAACAAGAGUGUAAGAAGGAACUAAAUACCUCCGAAAGUAGACAACACUUGCAGCAACAGCUGGACAAAGAAAAAAAAGUAAAAGUAAUGAGCCAAAAACCGAAAGAGCCAAGGAAGCAAAAUGAUUGAACACAGAAAAUCAAAGCACAGCCAAAACCCAUAAAAGAAACAGCAAUAGAAACCUUAAGUUAGGGAAAAUGACAGCAGGAAAUGAAGUAAGCAAAGUGAUCCCUAUUUAUAUACAACCAUCUCAAAUGAACCAUGGAAACAAAGUCAAAAGCACCAUAAAAGAACAAGAAUACCUGUUAAAAAAAGGUGAAACAAAGAUGAUCAGCUAUCAUAGGACUAAAAAGUGAGAAAGAGAAACACAAAAGGAAAAAGUGGAAAAGAAAAAAAAACAAAUAACCAUGAAAAAGCAACUCACAAACCUUUGUCAGAAGAUAUGGCAGUGGUAAAGUGAGACUGCCCUAUACGAUGGAGCAAAAUACUAUUUGCUCCAGGUUGAAAUGACACAAUUCCGGCUCAAUUAUUCAUUAAGCCUAGGGAAAGUAACACCUAAACACAAACGGCUAAUAAAAAAGAAUUUUAAAAUCAUUUUCUCUAGUUAAAGGUGUACAUGCUGACGCAUUUCUUAUUCAUCAUGGAACAUGAAGGAGGAAAAAAAAAAACAGCAAAGCAAAAAGACCGAGCUUCCAAGAAAACGACAGAGUUUUAUAGGGCAAAACUGCAAAAGCCAAAAGAAGUAGACAAAAGAAGGGGUAGGACGCAGUGCAAAACUUAUGUGGCCAACGUAGAAAAAAGCAAAACAAAAAGUGAAGAAGCAUGCGGCGUCGUUUUGGAAGGCAAGGAAAGGCUAGAGAAGAAGAUAAAAGCUGCGUGAUCAAAAUGGGACAAAACAGCCCUCAUAAGGGUACACAUAGGUGCUGAAACACGAUGCCCAAAUAUGUAACUCGGCAGCUAAACUAGUACACCUCAUAAGCCUAUUUUACCUCCCAUGCCUAUUUUGCCUAAUAACCAAUUAAUUUUUUUUUUAAAGAAAUACUGACAGUUUUCGUUUCUCUGUGCAUGAUGAGCUGCUCAAAUGGAAAGAGAAAGACAAAAAAGACCAUGGAAGAGGAAGGAAAGACGAUUUGGUCUCCCAAGUAAGAAGAUGGCGUCGUUUCGGAAGGCAACGAAGGGCUAGAGAAGAAGAUAAAAGAUCAAAUGGCCCUUCUAAGUGUGACAACAAAUAGUUGAACUGUAUGGUACAUAC
rnacentral:misc_RNA from 1 species